UUGAGCCGGAUGCGGGGACGACUCGCCAGUCCGGUUCUGAGGGGGCCCCGGCGCGGCAACGCGCCGGGGCUACCCGAC
rfam:Frankia sp. Cc1.17 contig_89, whole genome shotgun sequence.